AGCGAACGCUGGCGGCAGGCUUAACACAUGCAAGUCGAGCGGGCACUUUCGGGUGUCAGCGGCGGACGGGUGAGUAACGCGUGGGAACGUGCCCUCUGGUUCGGAAUAACUCAGGGAAACUUGAGCUAAUACCGGAUACGCCCUUUUGGGGAAAGGCUUGCUGCCGGAGGAUCGGCCCGCGUCUGAUUAGCUAGUUGGUGAGGUAACGGCUCACCAAGGCGACGAUCAGUAGCUGGUCUGAGAGGAUGAUCAGCCACACUGGGACUGAGACACGGCCCAGACUCCUACGGGAGGCAGCAGUGGGGAAUAUUGGACAAUGGGCGCAAGCCUGAUCCAGCCAUGCCGCGUGAGUGAUGAAGGCCUUAGGGUUGUAAAGCUCUUUUAUCCGGGACGAUAAUGACGGUACCGGAGGAAUAUGCCCCGGCUAACUUCGUG
rnacentral:rRNA from 1 species